rnacentral:rRNA from 1 species
GUUGAACGCUGGCGGCAGGCCUAACACAUGCAAGUCGAGCGGAUGAAGGGAGCUUGCUCCUGGCUUCAGCGGCGGACGGGUGAGUAAUGCCUAGGAAUCUGCCUGGUAGUGGGGGCUAACGUCCGGAAACGGGCGCUGAUACCGCAUACGUCCUGAGGGAGAACGUGGGGGAUCUUUGGACCUCACGCUAUCAGAUGAGCCUAGGUCGGAGUAGCUAGUUGGAGGGGUAAAGGCCUACCAAGGCGACGAUCCGUAACUGGUCUGAGAGGAUGAUCAGUCACACUGGAACUGAGACACGGUCCAGACUCCUACGGGAGGCAGCAGUGGGGAAUAUUGGACAAUGGGCGAAAGCCUGAUGCAGCCAUGCCGCGUGUGUGAAGAAGGUCUUCGGAUUGUAAAGCACUUUAAGUUGGGAGGAAGGGCAGUAAGUUAAUACCUUGCUGUCUUGACGUUACCAACAGAAUAAGCACCGGCUAACUUCGUG